rnacentral:tRNA from 1 species
GGGGAUUUAGCUCAGUGGCUCAAGUGUUUGCUUGGUAAGCAUGAGGUCGUGAGUUCAAUCCCCA